rnacentral:rRNA from 1 species
GUGAGUAAUGUCUGGGAAACUGCCCGAUGGAGGGGGAUAACUACUGGAAACGGUAGCUAAUACCGCAUAACGUCGCAAGACCAAAGAGGGGGACCUUCGGGCCUCUUGCCAUCGGAUGUGCCCAGAUGGGAUUAGCUAGUAGGUGGGGUAACGGCUCACCUAGGCGACGAUCCCUAGCUGGUCUGAGAGGAUGACCAGCCACACUGGAACUGAGACACGGUCCAGACUCCUACGGGAGGCAGCAGUGGGGAAUAUUGCACAAUGGGCGCAAGCCUGAUGCAGCCAUGCCGCGUGUAUGAAGAAGGCCUUCGGGUUGUAAAGUACUUUCAGCGAGGAGGAAGGCGUUGUGGUUAAUAACCGCAACGAUUGACGUUACUCGCAGAAGAAGCACCGGCUAACUCCGUGCCAGCAGCCGCGGUAAUACGGAGGGUGCAAGCGUUAAUCGGAAUUACUGGGCGUAAAGCGCACGCAGGCGGUCUGUCAAGUCGGAUGUGAAAUCCCCGGGCUCAACCUGGGAACUGCAUCCGAAACUGGCAGGCU